rnacentral:rRNA from 1 species
AUAAUAAUCAUAGUAGAUUUGUUAUAAAUAUUUCUUAAAUACAAAUACUUUUAGUUUAUUUUAAAAUAAUUAUAUAUUUUUUUACUGCAAAGAAGUUAAUUUUAGUUUAAUUAAAGAUUUUAACUUAGUACCUUUUGUAUCAGGGUAAAUUAAAUAAUUUAAUUAAUUUUAUAUUCCCGAAUUAAAGAGACUUAUAUAUUUAUACAAAUGUUUAUUGUAAAAAACUUUUAAAUUAUUAUAUUGUAAUUAUAUGUUUUCAUUCUUUACAUAUCUGGUUAUUAAGGAAAAUAAUUUAAUUAUAUAUUUAUUAUAUAAUAUUAUUAUAUAAUUAGGUAAAUAUUAAGCUAUUGGGGAUAAUCUCAAUAGUUUUAAAUUAUAAAUUUUUUAAUUUAAUGAACUUAUUUUCUUUCAAAUUUUGAAUUUAGUUUUUAUUAAAUUUUCUCAUUUUAUUAUAAUUUUUUAUUAUUUAAUUUUUUACUUAAUUAUUAUAAUGAAUGUUAAUUUAUUAUUAAUAAUGAUUUAAUUAAUAUAAUUUUAUUCUAAUAUAAAAUGAACUAGACAAUUAUUAUUUCCAACUGUUUAUCAAAAACAUUUCCUUAAGUGUGUAACUUAUUUAAGGUAACUCCUGCCCUAUGAAAUUUAAAUGGCUGCAGUAUUUUGACUGUACAAAGGUAGCAUAAUAAUUAGUUUCUUAAUUAGAAGCUGGAAUGAAUGGAUGUAUGAGAUAUAAAUUUUAUUUUAAUUAACUUUAGAACUUUAAUUUUAAGUUAAAAUGCUUAAAUUUUUUCUUGGGACGAGAAGACCCUAAGAGCUUUAUUUUUAAUAUAAAAUAAUUUUUCCAUUUUUAAUAAUUUUAUAUUAAAUUUUUUGCUGGGGUGGUAAUUAAAUUUAAACUUUAAUUUUAGUUAUCAUUUAUCAAUGUAAAUUUUGACAAUUAAUAAGGAUUAGAAGUUUAAGCUACCUUAGGGAUAACAGCGUAAUUAUAAUGGGGAGUUCACAUCUAUAUUAAUUUUUGCGACCUCGAUGUUGAAUUAAGAAUAUCUAAAGAAGCAGAAUUCUUUAAAUUUAGUCUGUUCGACUAUUAAAAUCUUACAUGAUUUGAGUUCAAACCGGCGUGAGCCAGGUUGGUUUCUAUCUUAGAACACUCUAUUUAAUUUAGUACGAAAGGACCAAUUAAUUAUACUUUGUAAGUAUUUAUUUUUUAAUA